CCAACGGGUGGCUGCAGUAGGGAAUCUUCGGCAAUGGACGAAAGUCUGACCGAGCAACGCCGCGUGAGUGAAGAAGGUUUUCGGAUCGUAAAACUCUGUUGUUAGAGAAGAACAAGGAUGAGAGUAACUGUUCAUCCCUUGACGGUAUCUAACCAGAAAGCCACGGCUAACUACGUGCCAGCAGCCGCGGUAAUACGUAGGUGGCAAGCGUUGUCCGGAUUUAUUGGGCGUAAAGCGAGCGCAGGCGGUUUCUUAAGUCUGAUGUGAAAGCCCCCGGCUCAACCGGGGAGGGUCAUUGGAAACUGGGAGACUUGAGUGCAGAAGAGGAGAGUGGAAUUCCAUGUGUAGCGGUGAAAUGCGUAGAUAUAUGGAGGAACACCAGUGGCGAAGGCGGCUCUCUGGUCUGUAACUGACGCUGAGGCUCGAAAGCGUGGGGAGCAAACA
rnacentral:rRNA from 1 species